rnacentral:lncRNA from 1 species
UGUCCGAUUUUUCUAAACCAGAGUGAAAGCAUAUCAGAUAAAGAAGGAAGAGCAAAAUACACCUGAAGAGCAGGAAAAUAUAUACUAAACAAGUAGUUGAAUACAAUAAGUUAAUGAUGUAUGAUCAUUAUUUAUUACCAUAAUUUCCAUUAACACAAGGAAGAAGCAAUUUUAAUGCAUAAAUUACAAUCUAGAUACAUAAACAAAUAUACACAUGGUUUCAAAUUAUGCAUUCUCAGCAGCAGCAGGAUCAAGUUGAUAGAGUGCAGAUUCUGAAACACGUUUCUUGUACUUGGCAAUGAAAGCUUCAGCUUUCAUGUCAAUAUUGGGUUCAGCAACACCCCAGUUACCUUUGUCGUAAUCGCUAGGCCAGACCUUGCGCCCCGAAUCAGAGGCAUCAUAGUACCCUCCUCUGGGCUUCCUUGAUGAGAAAAUGUUGAAAAUAGAGAAGAAACCGGAAGAAGACUUCUUCUGCCUAUGACCUCCCAUGUUGUGGUGUUUUGUUUUUUUUUUUUUUUGGCUAUCAAUGACUGAAUCAGUCACCGUGAAGAACUUGGAGGGGAGUGGAUUGUGUUGGUUUUCAAUUCAAAGGUAAGAUGAUUUAUUUAUACUAGAGAGAGGCUUCAAAUGCAUGAGUGGUGAAUAGUGAAAGAAUCUGAAA